rnacentral:rRNA from 1 species
CCGCCGCGCGGCGGGCGGGGCGGGGGCACGGGGGGAGGAAAGUAGGGGAUCGCAAGACCUUGCGCUUUUGGAGCGGCCGAUGUCUGAUUAGCUAGUUGGUGAGGUAAAGGCUUACCAAGGCUUCGAUCAGUAGCUGGUCUGAGAGGACGACCAGCCACACUGGGACUGAGACACGGCCCAGACUCCUACGGGAGGCAGCAGUGGGGAAUUUUGGACAAUGGGGGCAACCCUGAUCCAGCCAUGCCGCGUGAGUGAAGAAGGCCUUCGGGUUGUAAAGCUCUUUCAGCCGGAACGAAACGGUCACGGCUAAUAACCGUGAUUACUGACGGUACCGGAAGAAGAAGCACCGGCUAACUACGUGCCAGCAGCCGCGGUAAUACGUAGGGUGCAAGCGUUAAUCGGAAUUACUGGGCGUAAA